rnacentral:lncRNA from 1 species
AGCUCACUGUGGAACAACCCAGAGACAAAGCAGCCGUCUCCCCGACGUCUUGCUUCUCCGUCUUGACUGGAGUGGAGAUGGGCUGCCAGGCUUUGCUGAGGAGGCACGACCCGCCAGAGGCCAAGGCUCCUGGAGAUGCACUG